UACGUAGGGGGCUAGCGUUGUCCGGAUUUAUUGGGCGUAAAGAGCGUGUAGGCGGUCCGGUAAGUCCGCUGUGAAAGUCGAGGGCUCAACCCUCGAAUGCCGGUGGAUACUGUCGGGCUUGAGUACGGGAGAGGCGAGUGGAAUUCCUGGUGUAGCGGUGAAAUGCGCAGAUAUCAGGAGGAACACCGAUUGCGAAGGCAGCUCGCUGGAACGUUACUGACGCUGAGACGCGAAAGCGUGGGGAGCAAACAGG
rnacentral:rRNA from 1 species